CAGUCGAGCGGUAACAGGUGUAGCAAUACAUGCUGACGAGCGGCGAACGGGUGAGUAAUGCUUUGGAAUCUUCCCAGUAGUGGGGAAUAACCAGUCGAAAGAUUGGCUAAUACCGCAUACGUCCGAAAGGGGAAAGCGGGGGCUCGUAAGACCUCGCGCUAUUGGAUGAGCCAAAGUCGGAUUAGCUAGUUGGUGGGGUAAUGGCCUACCAAGGCGACAAUCCGUAGCUGGUCUGAGA
rnacentral:rRNA from 1 species